rnacentral:rRNA from 1 species
AACGAACGCUGGCGGCGCGCUUAACACAUGCAAGUCGAACGAGAAGCUGUAGCAAUACAGUUGUAAAGUGGCAAACGGGUGAGUAAUGCGUGGGUAAUCUACCCUAGGGUGGGGAAUAACUUCCCGAAAGGGGAGCUAAUGCCUCAUGUGCACCACUCUCGCAAGGGAGUAUUGGAAAGCCGUACCGAGGGUGCGGCGCCCAAGGAUGAGCUCACGUCCUAUCAGCUUGNGGCGGGGUAACGGCCCACCAAGGCUGCGACGGGUAGCUGGUCUGAGAGGACGACCAGCCACACUGGCACUGCGACACGGGCCAGACUCCUACGGGAGGCAGCAGUGGGGAAUUUUGGGCAAUGGGCGAAAGCCUGACCCAGCAACGCCGCGUGAGGGAGGAAAUCCUUCGGGAUGUAAAACCCUUUCGGC